rnacentral:rRNA from 1 species
GACGAACGCUGGCGGCGUGCUUAACACAUGCAAGUCGAACGGAAAGGCCCCCUUGUGGGGUACUCGAGUGGCGAACGGGUGAGUAACACGUGAGUAACCUACCCUUGACUUUGGGAUAACUUCAGGAAACUGGGGCUAAUACCGGAUAGGAGCUCCUGCUGCAUGGUGGGGGUUGGAAAGGUUCGGCGGUUGGGGAUGGACUCGCGGCUUAUCAGCUUGUUGGUGGGGUAGUGGCUCACCAAGGCUUUGACGGGUAGCCGGCCUGAGAGGGUGACCGGCCACAUUGGGACUGAGAUACGGACCAGACUCCUACGGGAGGCAGCAGUGGGGAAUAUUGCACAAUGGGCGGAAGCCUGAUGCAGCAACGCCGCGUGCGGGAUGACGGCCUUCGGGUUGUAAACCGCUUUCGCCUGUGACGAAGCGUGAGUGACGGUAAUGGGUAAAGAAGCACCGGCUAACUACGUG